CCUACGGGGGGCAGCAGUGGGGAAUUGUUCACAAUGGGCGCAAGCCUGAUGACGCAACGCCGCGUGGAGGAUGAAGGUCUUCGGAUUGUAAACUCCUGUUGCUCGGGACGCGGUACCGAGUGAGGAAGCCCCGGCUAACUCUGUGCCAGCAGCCGCGGUAAUACAGAGGGGGCAAGCGUUGUUCGGAAUUACUGGGCGUAAAGGGCGCGUAGGCGGCCCGCUAAGUCGAACGUGAAAUCCCCGAGCUCAACUCGGGAACUGCGUCCGAUACUGGUGGGCUUGAAUCCGGGAGAGGGAUGCGGAAUUCCAGGUGUAGCGGUGAAAUGCGUAGAUAUCUGGAGGAACACCGGUGGCGAAGGCGGCAUCCUGGACCGGAUUGACGCUGAGGCGCGAAAGCUAGGGGAGCAAACGGGAUUAGAUACCCUUGUAGUC
rnacentral:rRNA from 1 species